GGUAGUAAUAUUAAUGAUGAAUAGGGAAGUAAGGUUGUUAAUGUAAUGAAGGGAAAGGGAAGGGUGAAUCUGAAUCUGAUCCAACAUUAUCAUUCAGAGAAGAGAUUUGAAAAUCGCAUCGCAUCGCACAGAGAUGAAUUCAAUUUCAAUAAGCAGAUCAUCCCUGUGUAUCCUGCUCGCUUUCUCUUUGCACUUCAUUCUUGGUUUUUCUGACGACUCACCAGCUUCUAAAGAUGCUACAAAGGACAAACCCCAUGUAGGUGGCACAAGCACCAGUACUUUGAUUGUCAUUGUGUUAAUUGCGGUUGUGCUCUUUUCUUUGUUCUCCUUUGUACUUUUUAAGCUGUGGCGAAAGAAGAAAAGGGAAGAGCAAUAUGCUCGUCUUUUGAAAUUGUUUGAAGAGGAUGAUGAGUUAGAGCUUGAGCUUGGCCUAAGGGACUGACCUUUGCCAUUCAACAUCUUCCAGGCUUAUGCAAGUUUAUUUAUUUUGAAAUGGUUUAUGCUAACAAGUGCAAGGACGCUUGUUAAAAAAAUAGAAAAUAUAUGUUGAUGAAAUUCACAACAAUUAAUACAAUAAAGUACUUUCAAUUUUAGAUAUUUAACAAGUGUCCUUGUAGCACCGUUAGCAUUUGCCUUCCAAAAUUUUUUCUUCUUGCCCAAGACGGAUAUGACGUUGGACUUCUUGUGAUGGAGUCAGGACUUUUUUGGAGAAGACUCGUAAUUGAUUGUUUGUAAUGCUAUUCAAUGAUUUUACUUUUCAAAGAUAUUCAUUUAUCUACAAAGUAAGUAGACGUAGAGAAGGCUAAAUUUGCACAAAGUGAUUGGACGGGUGUUAUCAAGAAUACGAUACACCUGAAUUUGUUGAUAUGUAUGAUAUUGUAGUUUUGAGAUUUGACAUGUUAUAGGUAAUAUAUGGUGUUCAUGAAUGAAUGACUUAUAUUUUGAGGACA